UGGAAGCUAGUGUUUACUGCACAUAGGGCCUUGGCCCCUAAAGAGAAGUUAUUCUUCACUUCCAU
rnacentral:tRNA from 1 species